GACUCGCUGUGAAACCCUAGCCAGCCGCCGCCCGCAAUCCCCAAUCCCGCCGCGACCGAUUCGCCUCCUCCCCUCCACCUUCUUCGUCGCGCGCGACGGCCGAUCGACGAUGCUGCUCAGCCUCCACCCCCGGCUUCCACCGCUCCUCUCGUCGUCCUCCCCAAUCCUCCCUCGCCAUGGAGCUCGGUCUCAGACAAGCGCGAGAGGAGGUCGCCGCUGCUGUGCACAACGAGGAGGCGCACAUCGACGGGCGCGGGAAGGGAGCCACCAGGUCGUCGAGCGCCUUGUGCUCCCAACACCGUCAGCCAGCGCGUCUCCGGCGAGCGGAGGAGGCCGCCGUCAUCAAGCAUGAUGAGGAGGUGCGCAUCGACGCGCGACGGAGGGAGUGCUCCGCGUGUGCGCCUCCGUUGCUGGUGUGUUGCUCCUUCCUCCCCAUGGCCUCCUCGUCCUCCUCCACGCUGCCUCCGUGCCCAACCUCCUCUACAUGGACGUGAGGCUCCAUAAUCCAUAUACUGUUUCCUCUGCCCCGCCUCCUCUGCACAACCUUGCAGAUGCUGAGAUGGGACGGUGCCAACAACAACAUCAACCACUGGUCGUCUCCUUCCUCCCCCUACAGCUAGGGUUUGGGUGACCCAUAGGUUCCAACAGUACCUUCAGAAGCCCUGUUUCCCCAAUUAAAUCAGGUUCCAGUGACCUAGGUGGAUCAAUCUAGAAGGGUGGCCGUGGUUUCACAGUGAGGAAUGAUUGUGGAGUGCUUAUUGUUGCAGGAGCAGAAUGAAGCAUGUCCGCCUCUGUACUUGUAACAUGUUAGUCUUCCGUUCCUGAAAAACAUCUAGAGUUGAGAAAGGUUGCAACCUUGGCGCUUCUCUGUAUAGCUGAAGAACAGAAGAAUGAAAUAAGUAAGGCCUCAUUUGGAUUUGCACUACCCAGAGAUCUUCAUUUUGGACAUGCCAACAACUGUUGAUUGUACAGGUGUGUUAUGGAAGAAGAAAAUGAAGUUGUUCAAAUUGUCCCUGAUCUCGAUGUUCUACAGGGCUAGCGUUCUUGACUAAGGAGGAAAAAAGAGGCAUAUGUUUUAGUUUUGAAAUAAAGGAUCGGAACUCAACUAUAAAGUAUAUAUGAGGCGAGGCAAUUUUCUUUGGUCAGUUCUUUAUUUAUUUAUUUGAAGAUUUUUUAGAUUUAUGGUUAAUGCCAAUUUAAUUUCUGCAAGAGUUUUGGCUUUGUCAAUGCCAUGAUAUUAAUUCCUUAGUUAUUCUCCAAAAUACUACCUUUUGUCAGAUCUGUAUGGAUAUCUUCGGCGGAGCCUUGGCUCGGUGAGCCUGGGCAGCUGUCCAGGCUCAGCCGAGGAAUCUCCAUGCUGUUGGUAGUGGGAGUGAUUUAAUCAGCUGUUUAUGGGGAUAAAUGUCCAAAAUUGUUGUGCUGACCUCCAGUUAUCAGGUUGUAGCAGAUCAUGUCAUGUCUAUCUGAGUGGCGAGAAAUCAAGCAAAAGUAAAAGGUACAUCUCUGCAUUACUUAUCAGAACCAUGCCCUUGCAAUAUUGAGUGACUUAAUUUUUUAGCAUUGAAUGGCAUUCAUCAAUGGAAACUCAAGAAAUGAAGGUUUUUUUUGGGUAUUGUAUUGCUUUUGUGAGCGUCUCUUCAUGUACUUCAGUGGCAAUGAGCAAAUAAAAUCUUACCAUUAAUAUAUAAUCUAUAAUUUACAGAGGAAUCUGCACCUUAACACUACCCUGUUUUCUAGGAUUCUCCAACUUAGUCUGAACAUUUAGGUGUUAAUUAUGUCUGUGUAAACUUUAUUUCUAUUUAAAUUAUCUUUAUGAUUGAUGAUUGAUAUAUAGUUAUUUACCAUAUGAUUUCGAUAUUUCUUCAAAAGAAAUUAGCACCUGGGUUGGGUGGCAAUGUGUCCGAGCUGCCAAGCUAGGGCUAUAUAUCUAUACUAUCUUUGUAUUGGUGACAUCCAAUACAUUGAGCCACAUAAAUCUUUUUUUUCUGUCCUGGUAGUUAUCAUCAUGUUUUUUCCUGUUUAGGUGCUCCAGAGAUGCAACGUUUUCAAAUGGCACCUCAUCUUUUUGUUCAUUUAUGUUGUUUGUCAUAGUUUUACACUAAGGGAUAAUUGGCUAUAUAAUGAUUCUCAUAGUUUUAAAAUAAAAAGGAAGUGUUUUAUUGUAGGUCUUUGGCCAUGGAGUUAAAGUUACUGGCUGGUACAAAAUUUUAGAUUCUAGGCACUAGAGGAACUAAAUUUGAGGUUUAAUUCUAUGAAUUGGUUGGUUUUCAGUGUUUUUUAUUUUUAUCAUAUAAUUAUUGAAACAUGAAGUGGCAUUGACACAUUUUUUUUACCAUAAGUAUCACUUCUCUGAGUUACUAAUAUUUUUUCCAAGAUCAGAUUAUUUCCUGGUCAUUUACCUAUUUCUUUGUAUUCACACUAGAAGUUGCUAUUGUCUAGGCUAUGUAGUCUGUAACUCUACUAGCAGGAGCGUCUUCACUAGGUAUAUUGGGGAUCCUAAUGCGCUGAUGGUGCUGCUGAUAUGACCAAAUGAAGUGCUAACAGCUUGUAUGGACAUUCUUAUUGUUGAACAUGUUUUAUGCUAUUCAUCAAGCCAUACCAAGUCGAUUAUCUUUGUAUGCUCUACUUCUGUCUUUAUUUAUGUCACGGUUGUGUGAUAAUCUAGAUAGUUGUAUUUUCCCUUCAAAUAGUGUUAGAUGAUUGAGUAAUUAUGGGUGGAAGUUACUGUUGUUUUGCACAUUUCCUUGUGUUGUCAUCUGCCUAGCUGCUGGUUGUUUGACAUUUGCUUUUCUCUUAGACCAAUUGAGGUACAUAUGUAUUAUGUAGUCGUAGUUUCAGUUUCUUGGUUUAUAUUCCAUGGUCUGUUCAGAUUAUGACAUGUACAAAUGUACAUUAAGGUCUGCUAAUUGGUUUGUUGGCCGACUUAUUCAUACUUACUCUAUUAUAGUUUCCUAAUUCAUCCAUAUUUCAGGAAUUUGGUAAGUAAACAAAAUAUUAAUGAAAUAGGAAAAUAUAUAGGUGUCAAAUUCAGCUACAUUGCGUGUGCAUGAUAUAUUUGGUGAAAUAUAUGAGUAAGCUCCAAAAAAAUAUGUGGGUUCCGAGUAUUGACCUAUUAUGGUUAUUUUUUUGGUUCCUCUCUUUCUCCUCGAAGCAUGUCCAUUCCCAAUAAUGUGAAUGCUUUGUUUUGUAGCCUGAAAAGGAAGCUUUUGCUCUGCAACUCAAAUGGAUCUGGUUCAAAUUAGUCUUGGUGAAGUAUUACAGUCAUGUUUUUGCUUUUUUCCAUACUUGCAUUAGGUGUGUAAAUAUUUUGCCCAAAUGGCUUUCUUCAUGUUAUAGCUGAUAAAAGUCAGGUCCCUUGUGUGAUAUUUGGCCAUGUUCUAGACCAGAACAUAUGUAUAUUAAUUCAACGACGGACAAUUGGCUCAGAAAUAACAUGUGAGUCCAAUCUCGAAGGCUGCAGUCCAACACUGACCACAAGUAAGCCCCAUGACCUCCUCUGCUUCUCCCCUGCUUGCUGGAGGAUGGCACGCAGCAGUGUGGGGCAUUUGGCAGAGGUGUGCUUCUUUAUUUUUCUUCUACCUAUUUAUGAUAUUUUGCCAUUGGUUUGCAUAUGGGAUGAGACACAUAUAUCUCUUGAAACUGACAGCAGCAGUAGCUCUAUCAGAGUACUCUUGGAAGGAGCAGUCCUCAUGCAAGGAAGUAAUCGAGAGAACCUAUCUUUGGGGUCAUAGAAUAAUGCAGCAUCUGUCCUCGCAUAAUGUUCAUACCUUAUGAGACAUCUGUGUUGUUUUCUUACAGAUGGAUCCUCGUGACUCGGAUUAGCAAAAACACGAUUGCAAUUAUGGAGGGCGCCAUAAAACAGAGAUACAUCCUCACAUGAUCAAUAUGGAUUGCUUGGUUUGAGCGGCAGUUUAGCCUAUUAUUAUGCUUGUUUUGGUGCAGUACAAGAAGUUCAUUGGUUGCAAUUUUUUAGAUGAAUAUUGAUGUCCUAUAUUAGUAUUGUCUGUAUCUCUGAAUAUUGGGAGUUGAUAGCUUUUUGUUUGUCAAACAAAAUUUAUGGAACACUCCAGAUUGAUUGAAUCAUGUGUU